rnacentral:rRNA from 1 species
GGACUAAGGAGUCUAGCAGAUAGGCGAGCUCGCGGGACACGCAAACCCGCGAGCGCCGUGAAGGCGCGUGCCGGCCGGAGAGAUCCGGUCGGCGCGCGCGCGCGCCGCGAGGCGCGCGCGCGCCUAAGAAACGAUCGGCCGCAAGCCGCGCGCGGCUGGCCGCGCAGUUUCGGGACGGUCUCGUUCUCACUGCGAGAGGAGCCGUACUCCGAGUCUAUAUGCUGGUACCCGAAAGAUGUGUGAACUAUGCGUGACAAGAAUUAAGUUAGGGGAAACCCUGAUGUAAGUUCGCUACCGAUUCUGACGUGCAAAUCGAUCGUCUGAGUCAAGUAUAGGGGCGAAAGACCAAUCGAACCAUCUAGUAGCUGGUUCCUCCCGAAGUUUCCCUCAGGAUAGCUGGGACCCGACCGCAGAAGUAGUCGCAUGUGGUAAAGCGAAUGAUUAGAGGUAUUGGGGCCGAAACGGCCUCAACCUAUUCUCAAACUUUUAAUGAGUGCGCACCGCCCGCUUACGCUGAAGCGCCCGACCACCCCCCCGGGGGCCCGGGCGCGACGUCGAAGCGGCGGUCAGAUAGCGGGUCCCAAGUGGGCCAUUUUUGGUAAGCAGAACUGGCGAUGCGGGAUGAACCGAAAGCGAAGUUAAAGUGCCGAAGCGACGCUCAUGGGAAACCAGAAAAGGCGUUAGUAACUAAAGACAGCAGGGCGGUGGCCAUGGAAGUAGGA